AUGAAGUUCCACAAGCAGGUAUAUAUGGAGGAUCUCACCAUCUAUAGGAAAUUCCUUUUCAAAUUAGACUAUGGAUUAACUGUCCUGAAUGACUAUGGAAAACACAAUUGGGAAGGCUUAUGUGAACUGAUGCAAAGUGAAGUGAGCAGAACCAGAACACUAUACCUACUAAUGAGAAUUAGGAAUAAGGAAAUAAUGAAGGACCAAGAAUCUGAACUUGAACUGGACCAUAACAAACAAGUGACUGGAGAGAGAGACAAUGAUCAACUCUGGGUAAAUUGAGCCUUAACAUACUUGCAUCUUGGGAGCUGAGGCUGUACUGGUAGUCCAAUUGGUUUUCACGAACAAUAAUUCAAAAUAUAUCAUUUUAAUUUCAAUGAGAAAAAUAAAUCAUUGAUUUAAAGGAGGUAGUAUGGUAUA
rnacentral:lncRNA from 1 species